rnacentral:rRNA from 1 species
GAUGAACGCUGGCGGCGUGCCUAAUACAUGCAAGUCGAGCGAACGGACGAGAAGCUUGCUUCUCUGAUGUUAGCGGCGGACGGGUGAGUAACACGUGGAUAACCUACCUAUAAGACUGGGAUAACUUCGGGAAACCGGAGCUAAUACCGGAUAAUAUUUUGAACCGCAUGGUUCAAAAGUGAAAGACGGUCUUGCUGUCACUUAUAGAUGGAUCCGCGCUGCAUUAGCUAGUUGGUAAGGUAACGGCUUACCAAGGCAACGACGCAUAGCCGACCUGAGAGGGUGAUCGGCCACACCGGAACUGAGACACGGUCCAGACUCCUACGGGAGGUAGCAGUAGGGAAUCUUCCGCAAUGGGCGAAAGCCUGACGGAGCAACGCCGCGUGAGUGAUGAAGGUCUUCGGAUCGUAAAACUCUGUUAUUAGGGAAGAACAUAUGUGUAAGUAACUGUGCACAUCUUGACGGUACCUAAUCAGAAAGCCACGGCUAACUACGUGCCAGCAGCCGCGGUAAUACGUAGGUGGCAAGCGUUAUCCGGAAUUAUUGGGCGUAAAGCGCGCGUAGGCGGUUUUUUAAGUCUGAUGUGAAAGCCCACGGCUCAACCGUGGAGGGUCAUUGGAAACUGGAAAACUUGAGUGCAGAAGAGGAAAGUGGAAUUCCAUGUGUAGCGGUGAGAUGCGCAGAGAUAUGGAGGAACACCAGUGGCGAAGGCGACUUUCUGGUCUGUAACUGACGCUGAUGUGCGAAAGCGUGGGGAUCAAACAGGAUUAGAUACCCUGGUAGUCCACGCCGUAAACGAUGAGUGCUAAGUGUUAGGGGGUUUCCGCCCCUUAGUGCUGCAGCUAACGCAUUAAGCACUCCGCCUGGGGAGUACGACCGCAAGGUUGAAACUCAAAGGAAUUGACGGGGACCCGCACAAGCGGUGGAGCAUGUGGUUUAAUUCGAAGCAACGCGAAGAACCUUACCAAAUCUUGACAUCCUUUGACAACUCUAGAGAUAGAGCUUUCCCCUUCGGGGGACAAAGUGACAGGUGGUGCAUGGUUGUCGUCAGCUCGUGUCGUGAGAUGUUGGGUUAAGUCCCGCAACGAGCGCAACCCUUAAGCUUAGUUGCCAUCAUUAAGUUGGGCACUCUAAGUUGACUGCCGGUGACAAACCGGAGGAAGGUGGGGAUGACGUCAAAUCAUCAUGCCCCUUAUGAUUUGGGCUACACACGUGCUACAAUGGACAAUACAAAGGGCAGCGAAACCGCGAGGUCAAGCAAAUCCCAUAAAGUUGUUCUCAGUUCGGAUUGUAGUCUGCAACUCGACUACAUGAAGCUGGAAUCGCUAGUAAUCGUAGAUCAGCAUGCUACGGUGAAUACGUUCCCGGGUCU